ACACUUUACUUUAACAUGGAGGCACUUGCUGUGACUUCAUAAAAAAAUAAGUGCUUCCAUGUUUUAGUGCGG
rnacentral:pre_miRNA from 1 species